AUCUCACUCCGUGAGCCCGAUUCGGAUCUGCGUUUUCACCGUCAGAUCCUGUUUUAUUAUUAUGUGAUGAAAUGAAAUACUUGAUCUGGACUGCGAUUUUGCUUCCUUUUUUUUUUUUUUAACAGUUUUUGCAGUGGUAGACCAUUGAAGAUAGAUUUUAUGUUAUAUGAGUUGUGGUUGAUAGAGAAUCUGGUGUGGCGAUGAUGAUGUUGUUAUUGAGAGUUUCUUUUCUUUUAUACGAUUGAGUUGGGCCCAUGCCUUCUUUGGGUUUGAUCGUAUGCAAGGCCUAAAGGGUCACUGUCUUAAUAUGUAGGAGUAGGAUGGUUGUGGUCACAACUCUUUGGGCCUGUAACUUUAAGAUGAGGAGGUCAUCUUUAAACUCUUAAACAAUCAAAUCACCAUGUUGUUGUCUGCAAACAUGACUUUGAAAUUUGGUUGUUUAUGGUCUUGUAUUCUUAAUUCAAUGUUAUACACACAAAUUUAUGUUAUUGGCCUUCAUUUCUCACUUUCAUGACCGUGCUAUGUAAAUGGUUCAAUUAAUUGAUUUAAGGCAUUUUUAUUCUUUUAUUGUUGUUGUUUUUUUACUUCCUCUGCUUGCUUUAUGAUUCAUGACCAAUGAUUUUGUCUCUCCAAGAUAUGUAUGUAUGUUAGUUUAAAUCCUGUAUAUUUUGCAUUGCAGUUUUGAUAUGUUAUAAGUUAGUGAUCUCAUGUUUUCUUCAUAUUUGUAGUAUUUCACCAUUAAUUAUUUGUAGGUGAAGCAGGAAGAUACACAUCAAAAUCAAGAUGGUUACUGUCGAAGAAGAUAAACUGGCUGCGACCCCUGAUGUGAAAAAUGCUCCAGUCACUACUGAUUUUCAACCCAGCGAAGAUAAGUCUGACCAUAAUGUGGAAAAUUCUGAGUCUCCUGAUAAGGAUCUCUCCAGUUCCAAAGCAGAAGUACUUCCUGCAUCUGAAACCCAGGCUUCUAGUGCCAAUGAAAAUGAAGGGACAUUGUCCAAUCUUGAAUUAGACAACACAGAAGAACUUCCUAAUAGUGAGUCAGAGAAUCCCAAGUUACUACCCAAUAACCAAUCAAGCAAUGAUGGGGGUCCCCUUAGCAAUCAGCAUGUUGAGUCUGAGGCACCACUCAAGAAUCCAUCAGCAAGCUUUGAAGCUACAGCUGAUGAUAAUGUUGUUAGUCCUGAACAUCAGACUAGUAAUGAUGUGGUUUUAUCUGCUUCUGAGGCAGAAGCCUGCGUCUGAGGCACCACCAAGCAACCAGUUGCUCAAUUUUGAGACACUUCCAAAUAAUGGUGUGCUACAUUCUGAACAUCAGACUAGUAAUGAUGUGGUUUUAUCUGAAACACAGCAAAGCAAUGAGGUGGUUUUACCUGAAACACAGCAAAGCAAUGAGGCAGUUUUAUAUGAAACAUAGCAAAGUGGUGAGCCGAUUACAUAUAAAACUCAGCCCAGCAAUGAUGUAGUCAUGUCAGAUGCACAACGCAACAACGAUCCAAUCAUGUUUGACACACAGCCCAGCAGUGAGAUAGUCAUGCCUGAGACACAGCCCAGCAAUGAAACUCUCGUACAUGAAGCACAGAACAUCAAUGAUGUGGUCAUGUCUGAAGCAUUGCCUGAAAAUGAGUUGGUAAAUUCUACAGCAGAUCCCAACAAUCAUCUCUCUCAUCCAGAAUCUUUUUCUCAUGAUCAUCAGUAUACUAAUUUACACAUGAUUCCUGAACUUGAAUCGCUGCCCAACUCUGAUCCAUUGCCUAGUUCUGAACCAAUGCAAGACAUUCAUCUCACAGACAUCAAACCGUUACCUCAUAAUCAUCUGGCCCAGUAUGAUACACUUCCCAACAAUCAUCAUAUGGACCAUUCUGAGGCGGUGUCCAACCAUCAACUAACUCACUUUGAGACACUAUCCAAUGAACAGCUAGCCAAUUCUCAUUUGUUGCCUGACUACGACGGGCUACAAAAUAGUGAAACACUACACGACCAUCCGAUAGUUAAUUCUCAACCACUCUAUGAGAUAGUCAAUGCUAGCAACAUACCCAACUAUGGGAUAGUAAAUGCUGAAACUCCAUUGAACAGUGAGGAAGCUACUCCAAAAACUUAGCCAAGCAAGAGGAGGAAAAAGAAGUCUAUAGUCUGGGAACACUUCUCCAUAGAAAUAGUCAGUCCUGGAUGUAGAAGAGCAUGCUGCAAGCAAUGCAAGCAAAGUUUUGCCUACAACACUGGUUCAAAAGUUGCUGGUACUAACCAAGGCUAACAAAGACAAAAUCUGAAAAGGGUCAGGUUCGGAUAAGACAUGCCUUGCAUUGGGGCAAGGUAUGUGCAUUGAAUCACGAGUUAUCGAAAGAACAGCUUGGCAAACUGGAAAGUACCCCAUUUAGUUUAAUGCUGACUAGGAUGGACAAUAAAAACAUCCGUGUCAGCAAUUUAUUGUUGUUCGAGCAUCUGGAAGCCAGAAAGUCAGUCGUUUCAAAUUCAAGACACGUUGAUCAUUUUCUGUUAAAGAAAUCACACUUAUACUUGGCUUGCCAAGUACAGGUGUUGAGAUAAAUCUUAAACAAAAAAGUGAUGAUUCUAUUGUCCAACAUUUAUGUGAUGGAAAAGUUUCGUAUGAAAAAAUUGUGUCAGUGAUGGAAAAACUAAAAAAUGAUGAUGAUGUUGACAACUUUUGUCGGCGCAUCCAAUAGGCCAGAGACAAUGAAAUUCCUCCGGGUGUUGCAAUGGUUGGAAAAGACCUACUUUACGGACAAGGACUUGAAGUCAAAAUUUAAUGAAUCUCAGCUUGUGGAAACAUUGUCCCCCUUUGACCAUGAGUUGAAAAUGAGUGUUGUUUGUGAGGCAUUUGCUUCAAUGUCUGAUUCUGAUGGAGAGUUUAAUGAUAGUGUAUCAACUAUCCAAAGCAACAUUGGGGCAUUAGAAUUGGUAGCUUUUAAGGAUUUUCAAGAAUUUUUUAUUAUCCUUUUUUCAUAUUUAACUUUGCUGUCCUUGGUUGAUUUGCUCAAGUAUUAUAUUUGGAAGAGCAGCAGCACCUGUAGGAGGUAAUGCAGCAGCUGGUUGUUGGGGAAGGCUUAAAAGAGGAUUAUAAAAAAUUCUUGAAAAAAGGAUUAUAAAAAAUUCUUGAAAAUCAUCAAAAGCUACCAAUUCAUUCUAAUGCCCCAAUGUUGCUUUGGAUAGUUGAUACACUAUCAUUAAACAUGAAUAUUGAUUAUUAUAAGCAGGACAUUGAUGAACUUAUCGGUGAAUUCAUUGAGGUAUUAAUAAGUAAUAACAUCUAGACCAGUGAUUUUCCUUACUGUUUUUUUUAAAAAAAAUUCAAGGAGCUUGCUUCCCAUUGUUUGGAUGUUUUUGGAUGAUACUGCUUGGCUAUUGCGAUUUGCCAACCCAUGAUACAUUAAUUUUGUCAAUUAUCUAAUUCUGUCUGUCUUCUUUUUCUUUUUUUUCUUUAAGAGGCGAGCAAUAUUUUAGACCAUUGAAAACAUAAAGAACAUACAAAAAGAUAAGGAACUGAUAGGAGAUGUUGUGGAGAAGGUUGCUAAUGACUGGCAUGUCCAGAAACAAACAGGAUUGGGGGACGAUGGAUAUGAGAAGGAGUUCGAGCAAUUACUUCUAGAGCAGCAACCACAUGAUAGAGAUUCUAACCAAGUUUGAAGACGGACAUCAGGGUCAUUGUGAUUAUUUAUGCAUAGGGAAUUCAUAAUUAAUAUCCCUGUUUAGAUAGGAGGAGGGAGUUUAAAGGUAGUGUGUUUUUCUUUUUCUAGUUAUUGCUGUUUUAAACAAGACAAUGAAACAAAAAGUGAUAAAAUGAAUUGUUUCAUUUCAUUCAA